rnacentral:rRNA from 1 species
GAUGAACGCUGGCGGCGUGCCUAAUACAUGCAAGUCGAGCGAACGGACGAGAAGCUUGCUUCUCUGAUGUUAUCGGCGGACGGGGGAGUAACACGUGGAUAACCUACCUAUAAGACUGGGAUAACUUCGGGAAACCGUAGCUAAUACCGGAUAAUAUUUUGAACCGCAUGGUUCAAAAGUGAAAGACGGUCUUGCUGUCACUUAUAGAUGGAUCCGCGCUGCAUUAGCUAGUUGGUAAGGUAUCGGCUUACCAAGGCAACGAUGCAUAGCCGACCUGAGAGGGUGAUCGGCCACACUGGAACUGAGACACGGUCCAGACUCCUACGGGAGGCAGCAGUAGGGAAUCUUCCGCAAUGGGCGAAAGCCUGACGGAGCAACGCCGCGUGAGUGAUGAAGGUCUUCGGAUCGUAAAACUCUGUUAUUAGGGAAGAACAUAUGUGUAAGUAACUGUGCACAUCUUGACGGUACCUAAUCAGAAAGCCACGGCUAACUACGUG